UUUAAGGUGAAUAAGGAGAGGUUAAGCGCAACGUUUGAAAUCAGCAACUACUUUCUGCUACAAAUUGAAAAUGGGGGCUGCAGGAAUAAUAAUGAUACUUCUGUUACUAAAAGCUACAGCUGAACAAAUCAGUACCACAGCCACUCCUACCACAACAACUGCUGCUCCUAC